rnacentral:rRNA from 1 species
GUAGGGAAUCUUCGGCAAUGGACGAAAGUCUGACCGAGCAACGCCGCGUGAGUGAAGAAGGUUUUCGGAUCGUAAAACUCUGUUGGUAGAGAAGAACGUUGGUGAGAGUGGAAAGCUCAUCAAGUGACGGUAUCUAACCAGAAAGGGACGGCUAACUACGUGCCAGCAGCCGCGGUAAUACGUAGGUCCCAAGCGUUGUCCGGAUUUAUUGGGCGUAAAGCGAGCGCAGGUGGUUUAUUAAGUCUGGUGUAAAAGGCAGUGGCUCAACCAUUGUAUGCAUUGGAAACUGGUAGACUUGAGUGCAGGAGAGGAGAGUGGAAUUCCAUGUGUAGCGGUGAAAUGCGUAGAUAUAUGGAGGAACACCGGUGGCGAAAGCGGCUCUCUGGCCUGUAACUGACACUGAGGCUCGAAAGCGUGGGGAGCAAACAGGAUUAGAUACCCGGGUAGUCC